CUUGCGGCGCGCACGCGCCCUCGGCUCUCCCCUGGGGCUGCCGCACGCUGGAAGCGAAGGACGGCGGAGCGAGCGCGCGAGGAGCGCGGGCCGUGGGAAGCUGCCCGGCGGGUCGCGCGCUCGCCGAGCCAGGACGACUUGGCUCUGUUUUUUUUUGUUUUUUUUUUUUUGCACAAUGCCAGGUAGAGCCGGAUUGCCCACCCAUGCUGCGGCGGCGAGGCGAGCGCGCGCGCGCAGUGGUCCUGCUUUUUUCUAUUCAUCAUCUACUGCAGAACAUCAUCUUAUUCAAGGGUAUAGACUUGACUAAGACCUUUUGAGAACUCUUGGAAAUAAAGUCUCCAUGAUGAGCCAAGGGGUAGGUCGUUUCUCCCAUUAUUCACCCAUAAGAGAACACAGCAAGCAUGAAGAUGUCGGCUGUUAGCUGGCUGAGAACUGCUGCUCUAGAGAGACACGCCUGGACAUGUUAUUUUGCUCCUUUGUGGGGAAACCCAUGACAUCCUGCCCCUCAGUCCACAUUGAUGUACAUGAGGAGUGAUGGGCAUCCAAGCAUCUAGGAGACAAAGUAAGCUGUCAUCCUGAUGUAUAUGGAAGUUCUGUGAAGUGUAACGAGUAUCUGAGAACACAGGAGAAAAGAAACAGAAGACUCGGGAGCAACUCCACAUCUUAUCUACAGUGGCAGUUAAUGAACAGCCACAGGAAAGUGCUUUCUUAAUGAGAGACAAGGCCUACCUUCUACCAAUGCUUGAAGAAGGUCCAGAUGCUGAGUGGCCAAACAUGAUAAGCAUCUGCUUACUAUGAACAGUCUAGCAAAUAGAGGGCAGGAACGUGGGCUUAACUACAUCCUUAAUCACUGUCACCGACUCACCUUGCUUUAUCUCCAUAUUUCUUUAUCUUGUUUCUACUAACAUCCCCAACAAAGAAGAGCUCCUCUGUGGAGAGAUUCGCCUCAUCGAUACUGGGGGACAGCCAAGGUCUCAGGGUCUCAGGGGUGGUGCUUGUGUUUCAGAAGGUCAUCUAAACCCAAGUGGAGAAGCAUGAUCCUCUCAGUGAAGUUCUUGGAUACCUGAGGCCUGUCUCUUUUCUGCAUGUGAUGUUUGAACUGGUUUUCCUCUUGAUUUUUAAUCUCCAUAUGGGAAUAAACUAAUUUUUAUUUCAAGAUACUAAGAUUUCCUUUGGAAGAAGAAAAAUUAUAAAUUAUAAAUGGCCAUGAAUUAUAAAUAUUUGGCCUCAAGAUUUCAGCAACCACAUUCUCUCCCUAGGACAAGCAUUAGUGCCAUCACCAAACCCGAGUGGCUAUGGAGGAGUGCCAACCUGCAGUAAGAUGCUGUCAAUGUCAUAAACAAAUCAUUUGUACUUCAGAUGGAUGGUACUUGGCAUCAGUGACCUGAGCAAGCACAGAGAAGAAGCAAAGAAGUUGUAAUUAUUUUUAACUUUCUCCUCUGUAAAGGAAGCAGACACUGGGUUUAGUUUCCUUCAAAUGGAGCAAACACAGACAUCUUCUGAGACACGUAGAGGAAGAAUGUGGACCACAGCUGAACUGCACUCCGGCCCAUGCAGUCUGCAGAUGCUUCUGAGCACUGUGUUGACUCCUGCAACUAGACGGAAUGGUUACGGCAUCCCCAUGUUUAGAAAACCUCUUUCUCUGGUUGAUCUCUAAUUCCUUGACACUGAGCCAGGGUAGUUCAAGACUGCAGCGGUGUGGGGACGAGAAAGCUGCUGCUUGAGAGGAAGAGACAAGCACUGUGGAUGAGGAGCCGGAGAAGAAAAUCGUUUCCACGGCAAGUGUCCGAGAGAAGCACAGAGGUUUUGAGAGUCUGAGGCUCAGAUUACAGAAGACUCGUGUCCAUGACUGGAGGUGAUUUUGAGCAUUAAGGAUGAACGUGAAGUGUUCUUAUUUGGUGUUUAGAGAACAAACUGUUCUGAAACGUUGGAGUUCCUGGCACCAUUGUUCCUUCUGGGUUUUGCUCAGCUCUUUAAUUGAGUCAUUUUCAUUUUAAUCAAGUCAUGGCUUGAAGCUAUGCUACCACCCAACAGGAGCUAGAAUUGAUCUCACGUUGGUUUCUACAUAGCUGAUCUCCGUUCUAAAAUACAGUCCCUGGUUUGUUUUCUUCCUGGAUACUGUGAAGAUAUCUUGAUGUGGACUUGUAUUAAGAAGCUGGGAAAUUAAAUGAACACCCCAAAGGAUGGUGAUGCUAAUGACCACUGGGUGAAACGCGACCUACCCCUCUAGCCCUUCAGAUCUGCAUUUUGUUUGUUUCAAAUUAGCGGAAUCCUACCAUAUGCCAUCUUGUGACUGGAGUGUUUCAUAAUAUUGUUGAAGUUUAUCAGUUAUGAGAGCCACUGGAGAGUCUGUUGAGGAAGACAUGUGAGAAGACAUUGAAUCCCACUGUGAGUUUCAUCUACACGUAACAUGAAGAGUAAUGAAGUGGUCUUUCACCUUGGCCCAUGCUUCCUUCAAAGGAUGCCAGGGACCUUUUCAGAUAUCUGAAGUGGCAACAUCAUCCACCUAGAGUGCCUACUUCCCAGAAUUGGAUGACUGAAGAACCCCAUCAGUAAAUAAAAGGAUGCUGCAGGACUGGCAGCCAGGAUAAAUGACAGUGGUCCACUGAACUCAUUUUAUCUGGACCAAGAUGAAGUCAUGUGACCUACAUGCUGCCCAAGAGAAAGAGCCUGUGUCCCUGAAGACCCAGCCCAACAAAGUUCCUCCAUCAGAGAACCAUUUGUCUGCUGGGUUGGCAUCUACGUUAUCAAUUGUUGUAAGCUGUAAUUACAUCAUGGCCCACAAUAGCUCACAACAAUCGCUCUUGACAGGGAGCUAUGUGGAAGAAGAGGCAGAAAGAUUUUAGGAGACAGAAGGGAUGGGUAAUACCAAAGAACCAGUGUCUUCCAGACACAACAGGACUGAUACACAUAUGAACUCACAGAAAGUCUGGCAACAUGCACAAGGCACGUUGGCGUGAUGGCUGCUGCAGGUUUCCCCAGCACUAGCGAGAUGGAAGUAAUUUCCUACAUAAUGCACCACAAAUGGAUUUAGAAGUGCCAGCUUCAGAUGCUGUGAUGCAUAUUCAGAUUUUCCAUGCAGUAGAUUAGAGAAUAGCACGGUUAAAUCAAAGGGCCAGGGAUCUAGAGGCUUCCUCUCUGUUUCGCAUGCUGAAAUAUUAAUAAAGUAGGAAAUCAAAAGAGAACAAUUGAGGGAUGCUCAUGUCCUCUGAUUACAGCUCGUUUCUGUGAGUCCGAUUUUCGACGAAGAAAAGAACUAUAAUGGAAAAGAACGCGGCCAGGGAAACAAGGAUGACAAAGGGACAGAAGCGAAAUCAGAGGGUUGGCAUCCAAACACUUGGUCUCCACAAAGCACUGCUCAAGCCCUCCCUCUUACAGCAUCCCCAGCCGUGGCUGGGCAGCUCUGUCAGGAACUGGCAGCCUCCGAGCAUUGCAGCGCUGUGCUCCCUGUUUAUUGCCAGCUGGAGGAAAGCUUCCGUUUGCAUUUGGAACAUUCUGGUUUGAGAUGACUUUUCUGUGCUGUCUCAGAGCCAACUUCCUCAGGAGGACCAUAGAGCUGCUUCUUUCUACCUUUUCUGGGACCCUCUCAGUCAACGAGACUGCCUUCUCCCUAGAAACCGACAACGAGACCGCAGAAAGAAAAAGAAAUGUCUUUUUAGUUCCUACUGAUGAGGUGCCUAAGGGCACAGCGGAGUAAAACUCCUGCAGUGAGGACAUGGCAAAACCUUCUUGGAACUGCAAUGUAGAAAGACGCAAUACAGAGAGAAGGGAAAUGCUCACUGGAGGCUGAAGGGCAGCCCUGUAUUAAUGAAUUUCCUUGGUGCCAGUGACAGAGCUCUAAGUCAAAUAUGCAUGCAGCAAAGCAACUUGAUUGACUCCCGCACCCCCCCCCCCCCCCGGCCCCCAAAUUAAAAGCAUGAACACGCAGAUCAAUUGUACAAAUGGUUUUGGGUUCUUCCUCUGUUUGCUGGCCAGCUGUCCUCUGUGCUGCUUUAUUCUCAAGCAGGCUCUCCCCACUUAGACCAAAUAUGACCAGGAGCAGCACCGAAUGCCCUUCCAACCAGUCUCGACAUCUCAUCGAAAGGAAUUCACCUCCCAGUAGCUCUAGUCACCAUCUCAGGACCAAGUUGAGUCAAUGGGCACAGCAAUGGGUAUGGUUAGGAUUUUCUGAAGGAAAACUGAGCCUCCACGGCCAGAAGGGGAGAUGGUGAAACCCCAACACAGUCACGUGUCUGCCAGCCCUGGGCUUGUUCAGAAGCAGAUCUUUCACAGGAACAUCUCUACAGCUAUUGGCUCCUUUAUACAGGGCCCAGACCUGCAGCGUCUCCUCUGGAAAACAUCUACAUCCAUCUCAGUUCAUGUGGGCACCUGAGGGCUAUUCCACUUUGAAGCUUCAAUAGGUCAUCAGCAGACGUGGGGCUGCCGUUGCUUCAGAACCAGUGUCAGAAGCUUCUAGAGACACAGCAGCAUGAGGAUCCGAGUCCAGGCACCAGCCUUAGCUCUCAGCAGUUGGCUUGGUGUGGUGUUGGAAAGAGGAACACUGCCACGACAAUGACUCUUUUUCUUCUAACAACUCCACUGCUCAACCAGAAUCUUUUCGUAUUGCCUUGCUCCCAAGCUGCUGUUGCUCUCCAGUGUUUCCACAUGAAUUGGCAUCAACUUGUCUAAUUCUCAAAAACAUCCUCCGGCUAUUGUGAUUGUAACUAUAGUAAUUGCACAUAUCAACUUAAGAAAGAUGUGUUUCUGAUGAUUGUUCCAAAAGCAAGGUGCAUGUCUUCCAUUGUUUGACCUUCACAAUCUAUGGCCUUCACUGAUCUUUCAAAGGGUUUUUAUACAGUCUUGCAUAUUUGUUGUGUAAGACUAGGCUUUUAGUUAUGACAUUGCUUUUCUUUCUCUGUCAUUUUGAAAAGAUAUUUUCCUCCUUUAUGAAAUUUAAUGUUAUUGAGAUUUAUAUAUGUGAAAAUUAUUAACUUUACAUAUUAAAUAUGUGUUUUAUAUUCUUAUUUUCUAGGAAAGACCAAUAGCCCCAACACAGCAGCAUAAGAGGACAUAAGGGAAGAGGAGUUUAUAUAUGUGUUCUGUAUGUGUUUGUAUGUAUAUAUGUGUGUUCAUAUAUAUGUGUGUUUAUAUAUAUGUUCUCUAUAUAUGUGUGUGGGUAUAUAUGUAUAUAUAUAUAUAUAUAUAUAUAAAGAGAGAGAGAGAGAGAGAGAACAUUAUAUAUUUUUUCUCUUCCAUCUUAAAUCUUAAGAGGUUUUUUUUGGCCUUGCUUUGCUUUGUUUUUACUAGGAUGAGAAAAUUUAGAUACUGAACAUAUUUGACAAGCUAAAAAUAUAAAUAAAUUUGAAUAUAUUUUAGAUAAAAUUAUAGACAUGUCAUCAUAAAUUAGAGCUCAAUUAUCAAAACAGCAAUACAAUGUGUUUAGCCUAGCACUUGUAUUUUCCCUUGGGAGGGCAUAGCAUUCUGGUCUGUUCUUCUGUGCUGUAUAGCAUGAUACAGCCAUCCAUCCACAACUGGUGUCUUAACAUUGACACCCCACAUGCAUCACUAACAGGCCCUAUCAUCUUAGGUGAGUUCAUUAGCUCCAUGGGAUUCCUCUUAUGUCUAGUGAGGGUCAUAACAUGCAGCCUACCUCUAACCCAUGGCCACUUUCAGAAAGAAGUGUACUUAAAAGCAUGUAGCAACCCAGUUAUGGCGGUUCACAGCUGUAAUCUCAGCACUUGGGAGGCUGAAGUGUGAGGAUCAAGAGUUCAAGGUUUGCCUGGGCUACAGAGUGAGACCUUAUUUCAGAUAACAAAAAGAAAAGGAAAAGUACUAUAAAGAGUCGUCUGCCUAUAGAGUGUAAAGAAUCAUCUUAGACUCAAGAGUCACUCUGCAGAGAGGAAGGAACAGAGUUCUCUCCUUGGAGUCCUCAAAGCUCUGAAUGUCCCCAUUCAGAAAGGGGACAAAGGUGAGGAAAAAUAGUUCCCUUCUGUUGUUCAAAGAACAGGUCCAAAUAGGCAGUGGGCUGCACCCCUCUGUCGAGAAUAGCAAGUAGGCUUUAUCUCGAGUGCCAGGGCUCAGGGAUUGUGAGUGCCUGCCUAACGUUCAUUGUGCUCGUGAGUCUGAGGAUGCAGCUGGAGAGGGGACAGAGGUUGCCGCUAGCUAUUGAUGGCUGAGAAAUGGCAGGAAAAAAAAAAUGCCAGGCUGCUUUUCUGCCCUCAGCUCCAAGAUCGCAUGGAGCCACUACUGGCCUUGUGGAGUUUUCUAUGUCAUUAUCUCAACUGGGUCUUGAAACUGGCUGGUUUUAGCCCCACUUGUCACUUUAGUGUCUGACUAGGAAUAGAGACUACCCCUUCGGGGAACCCAUCAACAGAACAUUUCAGUCCCUUCCACAGCCGUCUGUUGUUCUUACAAUGCAGGACACGGUGUGCUCGGGGCCUGGGAAAACCAAUAGCGUCUAUUGAAUGCCCACCCCUUACACGCUAGGCCUGUACCAAGCACUCCACAAGUUGCUCUGGUGUUGUUGUGGAAUGGCCUUUUUCCCUCUAUGAUUCAAAAAUCAAUCAAUCAAUCAAACAAACAAACAAACAGACAGGUAUUAUUCUGUCCCUUUUCCCAAAGAGAAAACAAAUUUCAGAAUACUAGCGUUAUACUUAAAAGCCCAGGGUUCACCACAGUGCAAUGGUCCACAGAGGUCCAACAGCUCCACCUCAGACUGAGAGGCACUGACUGGCUGUGGUAGUCCCCAAUGUCCCAGUUCUCUUACACUAGAGAACUCCCGUAGCUCACCAGGGCCUCCAGUUGGACUGAUAGUCAUCCUCUCGUCUUUGAAUAGAACAGACAGACUGCUACCCCGGAGCAAGCCUCAGGACCUUCACGAAAUUGCCUGAUGCUUUAAAUUCACGUCGCAGGAGUUGUUUUAUUUACAGCACUCCAGAUCUCAAUCUCCUUAGUUACAUUCCUCCCAAUUAAGCUUAUGUACGCUCACAAAGCAUCAUUACAUGAUUUAACGAUGGAGCAUUUUGAAUUAAUUAUAUGCCGACAUUUUAUAACAUAUUCUAAGCGCCUUGAUGAAAUUGCCGCUCCUUUUUAUAGCCGCACAAAUGAGGUUGGCAGUGUUACUGAAGUUCCCUUCCUGAGAAUCAUUCCCCGCUGAAGGGACGAUACACAUAUUUCCAUAUGUGUGUUUUGAAGAGUUCAUGCUUUAGCUCUCAUGUAUUUGCUGUUUAACUAGGAAAAGAACCCCACAUAUGUCUGCCUGGUGAAGCUGUACCCAGUAGCCUGGAUAAACUUAAGCACACAGACAUUUGUGAAUGACUUUCUCUUUGCUAGUUAUUGGUGAUGGAUGGGGUUAAGGGUAGGUCUUCACUCCACAUGGCCACAAAUACGUUCAAGGAAGUUAUUACGGCUCUCAAAAAAAGAAUUUAUAGUUUAGCUGCAGUUAAUUCUACAAUGAAGCAAGUGACGAAAAUACUCAAGCUUCCCCUGAGGUAGCUAAGGUUACCAUGACCUCUUCUGGGGCUCUAAGUGACUCCUGGAAGGAUAAUUUUAGGUCUGUAUUUUAUGAUUAUCCCAAAGUGCUCUUCUCCCUUAAAACGGUGAGGGCGGAUUUCCCUACCGUCUUUGCCCUCUCCCCCAGCCCAUUUCAGAGUCUCUAUCUUAAGCCUCCACUACUCAACCUCCCCACCCUCCCAGCUCCACCUCCAGUUUUCUCCUUCUCCUUCUGACAGCUCAACCAUUAGGAGUUGAACUUCCUGAACCCCAGCCCAAUGGGAACUCACCUGCCCUACAUCCUGUCCUUUCAGGGCUUCUCUCUACCCAAAACUCUCAUCAGUAAGUUAAUACCAGCUGUAUAUGAGGAACACCUAGAUUGAUGUGCUACCUAUUAACUGAGUUUUAAACUUAAAAAUAAAAUCCACUGGUUGCGUGCCAAACAAACACUUGUGGAUAAAGAGAAGGACACAUGAAGAGGCGACUCGUCCAUCUCUCCGUGUGUUUGAAAUGCAAUUGUGUCAGUUGUCACGACGUGAUGGGCACAAGUGUCAAGUCAUCCUAGCUGGGGCCCUAAGGGCAGAGUGAAACGGCAAUCCCACCCUAGUUUAACUUAGUGAGUGUCGAGUUUAUUAGGAUUUCUUACAGGAGCAUGAGUGAGGGAUGAGUUACUAAGGCAGUGGUUCUCAACCUGUGGGCCGUGCUCCUUCUGAGGGUCAAAAAGGAUGACAUCCUGCAUACCAGCUAUUUACAUUAUGAUUCUUAACGGUAGCAAAAUUACAGUUAUGAAGUAGUAAUGAAGAUAACUUUGUGGCUAGGGGAACUGUAUUAAAGGGUCGCAGCAUUAGGAAGGCUGAGAACCAUUGUACUAGGAGAAUGAGUGAUUUAAAGGCAUCUGCGUCCUAAAAGCCCACAGCAUCAUGGGCGAUGACUCCUGAACAUCACAUCCUAGGAGCUCCGUGUGACCCUUGAAGGCUCCUACAGAACCUGCAGAAGAGUCCCCUCUUCCCAGCAAUUUCCUGCUGCCUGUAUGACUUUCAGCCUUGUGAGUCUUGUGAAGACUUGCAUCCCAAGUCUUCCGAGUUCACGUCUGCCCUGCAGGAGACAAUGUUUCAAUUAGGACAGGCAUCAGAAGUGACACCGCAAAAGUUCCAGGGGACAUUCUUACAGGGGACAUUCUCAUUAAGAGUACUUUGUUCAAUAAUGUCUAAAAAGUUAUGUUUGUUUGGAGUCUACUUCCUGCAGGUGGCUAAAUACCUAUAUAUUUGUAAUCUUCCAUUUAACUGCGCAUCCAAAAUAUCAAAACAAAAAGAUCGUUAGCUGAUCUUAAAGCUCCCCAGAGAGAACAGCUGAAAUUCUUUGAGUCUUGAAUAUCAAGACUACACGGUAAGCAUUGCACUUACAUCCCAGCUCCUCCAGAUUCUUGCGGUAUAGGCAGCUCUCUGCAUUCAAGCAUGAAUCUUGAGGUCUCAGAGUCAUGUGGAUGGAACUCAGCAGUUCUCAGCCUGUGGGUCACAAUCCCUUUGGGGGUCCAAUGACGCUUCCACAGUGGUCACAUACCAGAUAUCCUGUGUAUAGCAUACUUACAUUAUGAUUCCUAACAGUAGGAAAUUACAGUUAUGAAGCAGCAAAGAAAUAAUUUUAUGGUUGGGGGGUCACCACAACAUGAGGAACUGUAUCAAAAGGUCACAGCGUUAGGAAGGUUGAGAGCCACUGUUGUAAUCCAAGCUCCUGUUAAGUGAAGAUGAGGCUCAGAGUUUGGGGACAAAUGCUUAAGGUCUUGAGAAAGACUUGGAGGUGGGAUGGUUUCCCAAGGCAUCUUGGUACUACUUGGAGAGUUUAUGAGUGAUGAGUGAAACCUGUUAGAACUGUCUCAGCCCCUUGUUAUUCCGGGUCAAGUUGGUGAAAAUUCCAUAUUGCUAGAAAUGGAGUUUGAAGACAAAAAUGUGAGCUCCUGAAACCCUAACGGUUGAACUCAGCCGCCUAUCCCAAUAAAGUGAAGAGAUAAGCAAUGAUGAAAAACAAAGCAAAGAGAUUUGAUCAGUGUGGUCAUGUCUAGAAGGACAGAUAAUGGAGCCCAAUGGCCAUUCCCGUUUUAGAGUCCUGAGGAGCUCUGAUGUGAGCUUUAGUUCUUAAUGGAGGAAGAACCAGCAUAGGGACAUAGACAUGCGCAAUAUUGUCUUGGUCAAAGUAUGCUCUGGUUCAUCACUGUCUCACUUCUGGUGCUGAGACAUGGCCCAAGGAAGUUACUAUGACUGCUGUCACUUUAGGAGAUCAAUCUUGUCCUUAUAUGACAAUGCCUCCUGCUUCAGGGUGCAGCCUCACCUUCAUGGACAGUUACCCUCUCAGGAUGUGACAAGUCCUGUAAGUCUUCUGCUGUCUUGGGAUCCAAAUCACUUUCAGGCUUAGGACAAUGACCCAUCUCUACACUUUCAGCAAUGGAGGGGGAUGAGACAAGGUAGACACACAAGCAUCCCUUGAAUGAUUAACAUGCCUAGGCAGAGUCAAGGCGAGUUAGACAGGAAAAAACAGUAGAGAUGGCAGGCUCAUCUGUGGGCCAUAGUGAGGCAUUAGGAGAGAUGGCAGGAUCGUGUGAGGGCCAUAGUGAGACAUCAGGAGAGAUGCCAGGAUUUCAUCUGCUUCCACCUGUGGACCAAAGUGAAACAUCAGUGAUCUUUAGACAAACAGUUUCCAAGUGCCUGAUGAGUUAGAAUAGCAACAACUUCACUGGGCUGAUGUGAGAAAUGACCGUGCAACUGUGUGAUUCACGAGAGCAGCAUCUGGCACAUAAUGAGUGCUUGGCACACCCUAGUGUUGACCCUUCACUUAGACCUGGCCUCAAAUUCAAAGUCAGUCUUAUGUCUAACCAAGUGAAUAUCACUACUGAUACAGUCUUACAGGUAACAGAAAAUUCUCCUCCAUCCCAAAUAAUCCAAAAAGUCGGGAAUGAUUCUCUGAUUAGUCCCAACAGAUCCUUACCUGGUCCCCCACCCCCACACACCCCACACACUUUAUUUAUACGUCUCUGAUUUAUAGCAUGAUGGUGCACAGCUCUCAGAAAACUACAGUAGAAUUACCGCUACCCCAAAGCAUGUAUGAAUGGGCCUAUUUUUUCCUUCCACCUAAUAUGUGGAGGGUUAGGGUUAAGAUUAGGGCUAGGGUUAUGGUUAUGGUUAUGGUUAUGGUUAUGGUUAUGGUUAGGAUUAGGGUUAGGAACUCAUAAUGUCAAAGGUUUCAUCCCUCCUUGUCACUACUUUUUCCUCAGCCGACUAUUCAGAACAGCAUUGGGUAUUCAGUAAAUAUUCAUUGAAACAAGUCUUUCACAGUGUAUGGAUUGUAGUUAUACAUAUUGAAGAUGUACAGCUUGGGACUUUGGAAUACAUAUACAUAAAGAGCUAGUUAGCACAGCCAAGUAGUUUGCAUAGGUGUCCGCUUGUGAGGUGAGAACAUGGACAGCAAACUCUCUUAGUAAACAUCAGUAACAGCACUGUGGCUAGCACGGAAUGCCGCCCACUGAACUUAGGCAUUCUGAUUAAGUGAAGCUUUGUAGCCUCCACCAGGCAUCUUCCCACACCCUUUGACCUCCCCCCAUUUACCUCUAAUUCACCCUCCUCUUCUGUGAAAUUCUUAAAAGUCACCAUUUGAAACUGACUUUCUAAAGUUCCACAUGCAUAAACUAUUGUGCAGCAUUUUGCUUUUUAAGUGGUGCUUGUUUCGCUGAGUGUGAUGUUUUCCAUUUUCAUCCAGGUUGUGACAAAUGACAGGCUAUUCUGUUUGUCGUUUGUUUGUUUUUGAGAUAGGGUCUCAAUAUGUAGCCCCGGUUGGGCUGAAACUUGCCCUGUAGGCUGGCUGCCAAUUCACAGAAAACCUCCUGCCUCUGCCUCCAUAGCACUGGGAUUAAAGCCAUUUGCCACCCUACCUGGCUAUUAUUAUUUUUAGAGGCUGAUAUAUAAAUCACAAUUUCUAUAUCCAUUGCUCUGUAUAAGGACAUUUAGAUUUCUUUCACAUGCUGGCUGUGGCAAAUAAUGCUGCAAUGACCAGGUUGUUUAGAUAGCUCCCAGAUAGGAUUUUAGUUCCCUUACAGCCCAGGAGUGGGAUUACUGGAUCCCAUGGUAGUCCUGUUUUUAACUUUGAUUUUUUCUUUUAUAUUUAAAUUUUAUUUUGUGUGGGGAUGGGGGAAGGUAUGUGCAUGUCACAAUGCAUGUGUGAAGGUCAAGGACAACUUUUGGGGAGUCUGGUUUUUGCCUUCCAAGAAUCUCUGUAUUGUUUUCCAUAAUGACUAAUUUGACACUUCCAACACUACCCUCUAAAGGUUGUUGUAGUCAUUAUCCUGGUAUUUCCUGGUUGGCUUCGAUUUCUCUUACCCCUGGUGAUGUUGGGCAUCUUUUUGUGUAACUGUUGGCCAAGACAUGAAAUCCCAGAAUUCCUAGGAGAAGACACGAAGAACUAGCUUCUGAUUGUUUGCUUAUUUGUGUAUUUGGUUCUUAGUCAGGGCCUCAUGUUCCCUAGGCUGACCUAUAGCUUUCUAAAUGGCCAAAGAUUUUGAGCUGCUGACUCUUGUGCCUCUAACUCCUAAAUGCUGAGAUUAUUGACACGGACCACCAUACCGGUCCAGGCACAAACUUGACAAUGGUCUUGGCAGUGAAUUUUUUAUAUGACACCAAAAACAAGCAAUAGAGGCAAAUGUUUUAAAUUAAGUAGAACUAUUCAAAAUGGAAGAAUUCUGCACCACAAAGGAAAUACACUGAAACACAGCUGCUAUGAUGGGACUCUAUGAAACAGUUAUCUGAAAAGUUGGUGAAAAUACAUACAGCUCAUUCAACUCAACGGCAAAAAGAAACUUUAAAAAAAAUUUGGGCAAAGGACUUGAAUAGUUUUGUUUCUCCUAAAUGCAUGUCUUUUUAAAUUUUCAUAAUCUUGUUCACCUUCUCUUAAUGCCUUGCAAUACAAAUUCGUGUAACAAGCACAUAUUUGAUCCCUGACACUUUAUGUGGAUUACUAAUCUUCUAAAUUUCUGAGUUUCUCUCCUUGAUAAAUGGUAAUGGGGCUCCUGUUGGGUCCGGAUAUUGGUGUCCCUUUAUGCAUCACCUGAUUUUAAUAAGCAUUCUGCAAAGUCAGUUUGUUUAGAGGUAGUCUGUAGCUGGAGUUUUCCUGCCUGGCCAGAAGUCAGGGCAAAUCUCUCUCACCUGCCAGUCCCACAGCCGUCAGACCCAACCAAGUAAACACAGAGACUUGUAUUGGUUUCAAACUGUAUGGCCAUGGCAGGCUUCUUGCUAACUGUUCUUUCAGCUUAAAUUAAUCCAUUUUUAUAAAUCUAUACCUUGCCACAUGGCUCGUGGCUUACCGGCAUCUUCACAUGCUGUUUGUCAUCGUGGCGGCUGGCAGUGUCUCUCUGACUCAGCCUUCCACUUCCCAGCUUUAUUCUCCUCCUUGUCCCGCCUACACUUCCUGCCUAGCCAAUGGCCAAUCAGUGUUUUAUUGACUAAUUAGCAACACACUUGACAAAAAGACCAUCCCACAGCAGUAGUCCCCAGCCCCAAUAUCUAACCACCCAACAUUCAGUCAAAUUUGUCAUCUCCUAAUGUGUUACCUUCUUAGUCACUGUGACAAAUAUCUCAGAGGAACAGGAAGAGGAAUUUCAGUUCAUGGUUUCUGUCUAGGAACAUGACCCCACUGUUCCUAGCCUGUGGUGAGGCUGGCCAUCAUGACUGCACCCACUGUUCCCAGCAUGAAUUGAGGCCAGGAAUUACGGCUAGAAGGUGUGGUGAAAAUGAACUCCUGACAGCCAGGGAAGCAAGGGAAAGAGAUAAAGGAGAUGGAACAAGGUGUAUCUUUCUAGGGAGGCUCACUAUUGACUUACAUAGUCCAGCUAGGCUCUCCCUCCUUCCUACCAUCUCAAAGUGAUGCUAUUCAACUAUCCAUCCAUUGUGGAUUACUUGUUUGAUGAAGUCAGAGUCCUGAUGAUCCAUUUACUUCCCCCAAGCUGCUCUCUGGAUACCAUAUUCAUUGGGAAGCAAGCCUUUGGUGACCAUGUCAUGUUCAAAUCAGGACACCCUGCAUCCCAAAGUGAUACCUGAUCACCCUGCCUCAGACACUAGUAGAUCUUCUACCCAGAACGCCCACUCACCCUCAUGUUUACUCAUCAGUUUUCUACCCAUUGACCUAUACUUUGCUCCUGCAUUCACACAUUAAGCCUGGCCUGUACUGGGGUCUCUUUUCUUCUGCGGUAGUCUUGAUUAAAAUCUUUACCAUUCACUACCAGACUUGUGUGUGUGUGUGUGUAUGUGUGUGUGUGUGUGUGCUGUUCUGAGACUUAGGGUUAGAGACAGUAAAUGUAGUUGGGAUUGCUGGACUACAGCAUCAUCUCCAUCUCUAAUUUCCCUCCCCCACCAUUAUGAUUCUACAUUUAAAUUAUGUUUUCCAGAAUUGCCUUCUGAAAAUACCCAUCUUGGGUAUGAAAAAUGUUAGUAAGACACAGGAUAAGAAAUUGCUUAGGAUAUAUUUUUAGUUGUUGUUUAUCCAGAAUUUAUGUAAUUCUAGUGCUAGAUUAUAUUUUUUGUUUUAUUUAUUUGGAGUUUUUGAGACAAGAUAGGUCUUGCAGGCAGCCUAGGCUGACCUCAAACUUUCUAUCCUCCUGCUCUGCUUCCCAAAAGCUGGAGUAACAAUUUUGUAUCGCCUAGGUUGGUGGGCAAUGUUUUAGACCACUGUUGGUCUUUUACUGUUUAAUGCCUGCGAACUAGUAAACAGGGUUGAGGAGGGGCAGAGUUUGUAGGUCUGAACAGUGCCUGAGAUGAGAAAUUUUAAAGUAGGUUAAAUUGCUUAAGAAACUGAUGAAAUCUUGUGGAAUUUUUCCCAAGGCUAUCCCACCUUGUGAUAAUUCCAUGUCAACCCCCCGCCCCCCGCCGCCCCUUCCAUGAUGCUGAAAUGUUUUUCCUUUUCAAAUUCAGCAUCUCCAAAUAUCACAUAGCUUAUGGGAGUGGCAUUUUGACAGUCUCUACUGUAGGUAAGAAAGAUGUUAGUGAGGUGCAGGUUAAGAAAUUGCUAUAGAUUUCCUAUUGUUCUUGUUUACACGGAAUCAUUUCUUCCUGCAAGCUUGCACUAGUUAGAGGCGAGGAAAGAACACUGGUUGAUUGAAUUUGAAUAUUACUAAAGAGUCUUAGCACUCAGCUGUUCUCCACAGGACAGACCACAAUUGGCAUGUCACUCUGAUCACAACAGAUAGGCAAAUGUGUUUCAUAAAGGACAGCACAAGAGUAGCAAGGCUCGAAUUGGCUCUAUGCAUAGGUAGGCUGGAAGACUGGUUCCCUAUUCUGAUUUGAGGGGUAUAGAUUGCUUGCUUCAAAAUGUCUGUCUUAAAUCCUAGUUUGAGAUUCUCCUGUUACUGUCAUCUCCCUUCCAGGCAGAGAUUGUCUCCUGAAGUCUCCCUAGUUGGAGAAGGCAGGAGGGCACAUUUAGCUUGGAGUAGCUAGCUGUUGCCAUAGCAACCAGAAGCAAGGCCCUGGGGGGAUGAAACAUUUGGCAGGCAUGUUUGUAGCAGGAGGGAAAGAGACAAGGAAAGAGGUUACAUGAGGUGGCACCGUAAUUGGUAGCCCUGGGCAGCCAUGGCACAGUCACCUAUAAGACAAAACGUUAUUUCUCAUUUUAGUCAGGCACCAUCUUGGGUUUCUCCAUCAUAAAGCUAGCCAUUGUGUUCCUUGAAUUGCUUGGCUCUCUGCUCUUCAACAACAGUGUGGGCUUCUAAACUUCUAGACCAUGUCAUCCUGUAGUCUAUUCACAAGAUAAAUAUAGUUCUCCCGAGCAACAACAAAGCAAUUAGCCACUACCCCCCAGCCUUGGCUACAGGACACAAAGACAAUUGGCCAGAUACCAGCGUCUUCCUUACUGUGUUCCCAGAUAUUCAUCUGGGACAGCGGAUUGUAGGAGGGAGUAGAUUGCAGUUCACACACAAAAGAUUAAAUUUUCAGGAAGUCAUCCUUCAAAUGAAGGCUUUCAGUGUAGGAAAAAAAAUCUUCGAAUUGUAACAGAGCAGGAAGAAACCUUAAAGGUCUUUUAAUUCCACACCCUCUUUUUACAGAGGAGCAUACCAAAAGCCAGAGAGGUUAAUCAUGUCCCCUGGCCACCUAAUUACUCUGUCAUGUCUAAUGAUUGCUGUGGAAGAAUCUGAGAAUUCCCAGUGCUUCCCAAUUGUAUGCAUUGAAAAGCCAGUUUGCGUAUCAACAGGAAAUGUUAGCGUAGAGGCUGACAAUGUCCAAUGGGUUCCUGUGGAGAGUAAGAGCCGCAACUUGCUGGAUCCUUACAGUGUGCCUGCCAGUCAUCCACUAAAGGCACCCAAGUCUCAUUAACUAAUUCCCCAAACAGUCCCAUGUGGUUAACAUUUGAGCACCAGUGUACAGACAGAACAUGGACCUUGAAAGAAGCUCAGUAACUUCUUCAUGGCCAAACAAGCCAAAAACAGACUUAAGAUCUGACUCGGCCUUUGCUUCUUCCCACAGCACUAAAAACCCUCUCUCCUGGCUCUUUCCAUGUCUCCAUUUUCUGGAAGAAAACCAAGUACAGCAGCACUUGGACUCCUAAGCUCAGUGUGACAAGCUAUAGCUGUCUCCUAAGAAAGCCACCUAAUCCAGACAGCUAGCCAUAUUCCUUAGGGAUCCAUUUAUGAACAAUGACCUUUCUCUAGUAAUAAAUGUAAAACAUACCCUUUAGACACAAUUUUAAAACUUAAACCAAAGAUAAAAGAGAAAAUUAAAUUCUUCCUACUAAUCAUACCAAGGAUCUAUAUCUAAGAAAAUUUAUUUUGUCUUCUAUCUCCAAGAUUGUAUUUCUUGUAAAAAUUAGUGAUACCCUAUAGCAUUUUUCCUAUGCACAUCCUUUCCCUUGGGGGAAACUCAUAUAGUAAUAAACCCCCACCAAAAACUUCCUCUUUAAGUCAUCCACACAUCUCUGAGUUCUAUAUCUCAGACAGCUCUCUUGCAAGCUACUCUCUUGGGUGGAGCAACCCAUUGGGAGUGUUACAGGAAGCCCCACCCUGGUCUCAUGGAACCCUUAGACAAAUUCUUUGGAAAGGGUGUUCAAUGCACUCCCCUUUAGCUCCCAAAUAUAUAGAUGUUUUAGUCCAUAUGCCCAACUGAAGUCAUUUUUUCCCUCUUGAUGUCAUAGAUGAAGGGCUGAUAUUGAAAUGGUUUUCAUGGUAACUUAGCUGAUACAUAGGAAAGUCAACAGAGGGUAUUUAAGAUCAUCAGUGCUGAAGGUGUGUCUCAGCAGGACAGCACUAAUCUGCAUGCUGGAGGUCUUGGAUUUGAUUUCAACACUACAAAAUUAGAAAGUGAACUUAAGAAUAGAUAAAUACAGGCAGGCAAGAUGGGUUGGAGGGUAAAGACACUUGCUGCCAAGCCUAAGGGACCUGAGUUUGAUCCCAAGGAUAGAAGGAGAGAACCAACUCCCACGAGCUGUCUCUCUGAUCUCCUAGUGUGCUCUCCCCAUAAAUAAGUGAAUGAAUGAAUGAAUGAGUGAAUGAAUGAAUGAAGUUUUUAAUGUUUUCAAAAGAAUAAAUACAGUUGUAAAACUUAGGAUACUCUAUUGUGGCAAGCUCAUCUUGUAAGGGCAAGAGUUCAGGAAGUCCCCAUCCUAAAGAUUCUUUCUGCCCAGGACAGCGAGCGUCCUAGGAUGCUGAGCUAACAAUCUCAUGUGUAGAGCUUUGGAUUGACUUCCUUGUACCUGUGAUUCCUUUGCCCUGGAUAAAAUUUACCCUGAGGAAAACCCUGCUGAGGUCAUGGAAAUGUGUACCUAAGGCACAUUCCAAGUACCGUGUGACACCCAUUUCCGAAGAACGGGUUUCCAUGGGAAUGAAACUACGUGGACAGCCAGUGCUUCAGAAGUAAGCCAGGGCAUAGUUCUCAGUUUCCAUGGACCUAGUGACAUAAGGCUUCAUACAGGUAAGCUCUUACCACUCUGCUGGUGAGAAGUCUAGAGAGACAGCAUUUUGCUGGAAGCUCUAACGGAGAACUUGUUCUUAUUUUCCCAGCUUCUAGAAGUUUCCUGCAGGUGUCACUUUGUGGCCUCAGGUUUCUAUGACCUCUGCCUGCAUGACCACACUACCUUCACUCACGGUGACCUUUCUGCCUCCCCCGUGAUGACCCUGAGCUCAGUCAGCCUCUACGGUAUCUUUUCACCAUCUGAAGAAUACGUGUCAAGUUUCCCAGUCACUUUUGCCACGUCUGGGGACCAUAGAUGAGAAUGUGGAUGUGUUUGGGGUGAUGUUAUCCAAUCUAUUGUAGGCUCUAAAGACACACUCGGUAGAGUUGGGGCUAUUUGCAGCGGAGUUUGACUUGUCCCCUUAUUCUCUUCUGCCUCUUUUCUACACCGCCUCUCCCGGUUCUUUAUCUGGCUUCCAAGCCUGAGUCAUCUUUUCUGGGCUCGUCUUUCCUCCCACAGGCACUGAGACGUUGGUAGCAGGACUCUGCUCCCAGCCACUCUCCCUUGUUCAUUCCACCACAGCUGUCACGGCUGCCUGGGGACCCACUGGGAAGCUGGAGUCCUGCUUGUGCAGCUGCUUGCGGCAGGUUCUUGAGAGGAGACUUAGUCACUGAGACUUUUAUUUGAGCCAUAGAAUUGCAAAUUUUUGAUUGCCUAAUUUAGGGAGGGUGAGCCUAAAAAUAAAGGUCUGCUCUUUCUGGCAUGAGUUUUUGAAGGCAUUUUGGUAACGGAAGCAAGUCUGGGACAGGGUGUGGGGUUGUGGGCAUUUCUCUGCCACUUGAAUCAUGAACUUGACCAAUUCCAUGGGACCUAGAACAUGGAUAAUUGCUGCCUGCUUGCUGUUCCUUUCGGCUAAAACCUUCCCAGAAGCUCCAUUUAACAGGAUCGGAAUCCGAUGGAGACACGACUGCUGGUGAAAAAUGUAUCGAUGUAACUAAAUGGGAGAAGCAAAGAGAAAUGAAACAUGGUGACUGUAGACGUUCGGCUUUACCCUUCCACAGUCAAGACAGAGACCACUCUUCAGUCAAGCACGGCUCCCCUCCAUGCCAGCCUUGAAGGCUUUGUUGAGAAUCCUUGCCAGACACAACCACUCCACCAGCAGUGGCCCAAAUGCUGCUGUCCUUUGUGUCCCCACAAGACAGGCGUUGGCUCCCUGUUUCUCUACAGUCUGUCGGGUAAGGGUGGUUCUUCCUACUGCAGUCCAGCGCAAAGAGGAUGACAUUGCAGUUUCUGCAGCUGGCAGAAUGCUCAAAGAAAUGGAAUCCUCUUCCUCCUCCCUCUUAUCCAUUGGUUUGGGGACGCUGUUGUUAGCCACCUCCAGCUCCUCCCUUGAGUAAUGGGUUUGUUUCCUUUCUCCUCGGUGAAACCUGUGUGCUUUGAAUUCCUGCAUGAAAUAUAUAGCCCAAGUCCCCAGGUUUGACUUUUUAAUUAAUUAUUCUUCCUUAAUUAUGUAUCUCUGCCUAGUUCCUCAAGAAAGAAUGCAACUAGGUCCUCCCCAGCUCCCUCCCUAGAGAAGACGUGACAGUAUUGUCAAACUCUUCAAAGGCAAGGAGGCAUAAGAAACAGACUCAUCCAUUCCUGUUUCUCUGUUACCUCAUAGUUUCUGCUUGCAGCAAGCAAGCAGCCUCAGAGGUUAGCAGACACCCUACUGUUUUGACAGGCACUCCUCCAUUAAGGCUUCUGAUUGCCUGGCCUAAUUGCGGGUGUGUGUGUGUGUGUGUGUGUGUGUGUGUGUGUGUGUGUGUGUGUGUACUCCUGCUCCACAAACAUGGCUUCUCCACCUCUCCCUCUUUAUACCAAUGCUGUAAGCAAGGAAAGAACACUGAACUCAAACAGCUCAGUGACAGCCAGCCUGGAUGACACGGGAGGGGAAGAGAGCAGGGCGUGUGCUGCUGUGCAUUGGCUCUUUAUUCAAAGAAAAUGAUCCCUUGUGGCUGGUUCCCCCAUACCUUAGCUGGGACCCAGGGAGAGUGCUCGCUUUGGCUCACUUUGGCACCCAGCCAUCUGGAGCCUGCAAAAUCCUGGGAGAGGACUGGCGAGUCAAAAGGGCAGACCUCGUUAGUCUCUCCAUCACUCCACUGCCCUUCUCAGGCCACUCACUAACCCAGCUGCUGGCUCAGCACUAAAGCACGCUCGUCCUGCGUUGUGUCCCAGCGGCCGCCUUACAAGAGGGCUUUUCAGCAUAGAGACGAGCCAACAGACCGCCUUCCUGUGCUGGAAUGCCCACCUGAGUGUUUCCUCUGCAGUCCUAGGUGCAGCACCCGGUAGUGAUCACCCCCACAUGCCCAAGAGCUUGAGCUGCCUGCAGCAAGGCACUGGAGCUUUGCCAAUGCUUGCGCCCUGGUGGAGCCGAGACAGAGAGCAAGCAGCCUGCAGUCUCUGAGCCUGGAGCUCCCGGGGAGCAGAACUUUGAACCUCCUCCGGCAGGGAGAUUAAAUGGAUGCUGAGAAGCAGCACAGAGGUGGUAAAGGGAUCUGUGACUCCGCAGAGCUUAAAGGCCCCACCCCUGCUGGUGACAUAAUCACUAGGUCGCUUGCACCUUAAGGCCUCACUCUCAUUUAGAGAAGCCAGGGUAUAGUCCUUUGCUUUCGAAGUUCAUUUUUUUAUUGGUUUGAGAACAUGCUUUAAAAUAGAGAGGCGGACGAGACUAUACACACUGCAAGGUUGAUCUCAGCCUGGAGAUGUGAAGGAAGCGAAGAUGAACUCACUAUUAGUCCUUUGUCUCCUUCUGAGUCCCCGAGGGUCUCUUCCCACUUCUGUGGCCUGUAACCAUCACUUCCUCCUGGUUGACUUGUAUGUGUCUGUCUAUAAGUAGAUGGUACGUAGACUAUUCCUAAUUGGAGCUCAUGCCUUUCAUGAUUGCUAUCAUUCUUCACUUCCACAAUAUUUUCCCUUCUCACAAUAUACUGGCUUAAAGAUUCUACAUGAAUCUCUAGAGAGCUGGUUCACUUAUUUUUGAAUUACCAUCUGUCUUAGUGGGAUGCCGGCUACCUUUACCAUCAUUGGGACAUGGUUAAAAUGCAUUGCCCAGACCCUGUUGUCAGAGUCUCCUCUCUCAGAUCUAAUGUUGGUGUGGUGGGUAAUACUGUCAACUUGACAGGAUUCAGAAUCACCUUGGAGACAUGCCUCCGGUGGAUCAUCUAGAUUAGGCUAGCUGAAGUGGGAAAAUCCCACCCUGAACCCGCUGGGCAGCACCCAUCGGUAGGCUGAGCUUUCGGACUGAGUCAAAAGAGAAAGCGUCUGAACAUAAACAUUCAUCCUUCUGUUUCCCCACUGGGAAUGCAAUGUGACCAGCCACCUCGAAGGCUGCUGCCGUGACUUCCUCACAAUAAUGAACUACACCCUAGAACCAUGAGUCAAACUUCUUCUCCUUUAAGUUGCCUUUGUCAGGGUAUUUUGUCACAGCACCAGGAAAAACAGCUAAGUCUGCUGGGUGAACAUCCCUUGUUGGCAACUUCCUCAAUGGCAUCAGUACUCAAUUGAAAUUCUAUGAGUCAGAGUGGAGAACCACCACUGCCCAUCGACUUCUCGGUGGAUCAGAAGCAAUUUUACAUCUUUUUCCAGAAUCACACCAGCCAGUGAAUCAGCCAGACGACUCCCUGGAAUCUGCUCCUAGCUGGGUGUGCAGAACGGUGAGAAUAGCCUUCCCUUUAUCGGAGUGUAUUACAAAACAGACACUCCCAAGGAUAGAGAUCAGGCACCACAUAACCUUGGCGGUAUUUUAUAGCCCUGUUAUUUCUCUCUUCCCCCUUCUUUGUGCUAGCCAGAGAAGAAAUGAUCCGGACUGACCCAAAAGGUAGAGUCAAGCCAUCUGCCCUUCUUCAAUACAUCCAACCAAUGUUUACAGAGUGCAUACAUGUUGCUGCUGUGCCGGGUGGUAGGGAUCCAAGAGGCCCAUCCAUCACAGACCUCCUCCUCCAGGGUGGGGUGUGUAGGCCAUUUAAGUAGACAGAUGUCCUUCUGUAGGGGAAACAUCAGAUACUCUGCAGAACAGAGGCUGCAGUGAGAAAGGAAGAAAGCCUCGGUCUCAGACAUAGUGGGCUAGAAUUCGGUGUUGUGUCUCUGCUGGACUCUCUUAUUCCAGAAGCAAGUUCACUCCCUGCAAACACAGUUUCCUGUUCUGCAUCUCCUCCCAUCCAGCUGUGUGUCCAACCCAGAUUCCUGCCUUGUAUAGCUGCCUUCUGCUACCUGUAAGUAGCCUACUUGCCUGAGCCUCAGACGCUGCAUGGACUGCUCAGAUGUGGUCUAGUGAUCACUUAGUCACAGAAUGAUGCUGGAAGUCUUGCCCUGCUUGCUUUAAGCCCAUUGACUGAAACUCCCUCAGAGAAACCUGCUUGGAUAAUGCCUGAGACCCAAUAAAGACAUUGGUGGCUCUACCUUUCUUACUCUGACCUCCAUGUGUGGCGUCCACGUGUGACCCCAGGAUGUGGUAACAAAUUAUUCAUUCCCAUCUUAGUCAUUGGAAGGACCCUCCCUCAUGAAGAUCCUAAGUUGAAACAGUCAGUGUGAUUGUCAGGGCCGCUGCCUAGAGUAGCUGUUCUCAGAUGUGAAUGCACAUGGGACCAGCUGCAGGAUGUCUUAAAAGAAACCCGGUGGACCCAGAGUAUUUGACUCAAUAGGUGCGGCCUGAGACUCUGCAUUUCUAACAAGUCCCCGGAUGGGAACCACCAAUGGCACUAGCCUGGACAAAGAACCAAGGUCUCGGAGGAGCUGAAGCCUCCUGGUUUGCCCCUCAGAGCUAGGGCUGCAGAGCGGUGGCAUCACUUGAGCCUCGCCCCGAAGUUUGUUAGAGAUGCAGAAGCUGCCUCAAGGGCACCAGACCACAUCUGGGCACAUCAACAGCGGCAAAACACCCUCUUAAACCACGGGCACUGGGACUCACUGCACAUUAGGGUCGCAGGAGAAAGGGUUAAAAAUUCAUUGUGUUUGGAUUCUCUUCCCAAAGACUCUUGUUGAAAUGGAACAGGAGGUAGAAAGCAACUCUAGGUGGUUCUGUGUGUAGCACAUUUGGGGAGUGACUGACCUAAGGUGCAGCCUGCACAGGAGUUGGGACCGCAAAGGAAGGCAGGGUGAGAGUCACGGGAACCAGGAUGUAUCAAAGCACGGCGGCAAGAGGAGCGAAGUGGGUUCAUUGAACACAUGGAAAGGAACUCAGUCAGCAGGGAGCACAGGGUUAGGAGGAAAAUUUGUUUGGGGCCUGGGAGAUUAUAAGAGCUGGUUGUGGAAGACUGUAGAGUCUUGGAGCUUUGGGUCUUCUGUUAUAGUUGAGUGUAGUAUUUUGCAUUUAGAAAUUUGUUGGCCACACAGCUGCCUGCUCAGGGAUAUGGGGACAGUAUUCCUGGGGGUUGCUUUUAAAAGAACAUAUAUUGCCUAUUUAAGGGAAAACCGCUCCUUUCAGAGAAGACUGCUUCUUAAACUGAAGAUGAAAGCAGAGGGUUGGUGCAGAAAACGAAGAAGCAGAGUGAUCAAGGCCGACAGAUGACGCUGAUCACUCAAAUGUGCCACUUUGGCGUGAUGGUUACUUUGAGCUGAAAUCAGCUGAGAAAGAGAUGCAGGCAAAGCUCUCUGUCUAAAAUUGGGGCACACAUUUGGAAAGAUGCCUACCUUCCAUUCUCUACCAGGAAUAAGUUAAUCAGUGAAGACAACUCCAGACCCUUUGAGCUCACACAUAGAUGGACCUACAGGGAUUUGCAUACCAAACUUUACCAAAACCCCAUCAAAACAAAGCAAAAAACUCUCCCCACUGCUUUCCUGACCCAUUUGCCACUUGAUAAGUUGCUGUCCCUGGAGAUUGAGAGUCCUUCUCUUCAUCCUGACCCUUACACGUGAACUGUCCUGUGUGUGAUGGUAUGUCACAUCCGUUCUAGCAGGAUUAAAUGGAUUACUAGCACUCCCAUGGGUAUCUGCAAAGCUCGUGUUAGUAAACUUCGGUUUGUUUGUUUGUUUUCUUAUUAAUUUGUCAUGUGUUUCAUCCACAGAGCCUCUGCAGGACACUCCAAGAGGGCUGAAGCAUAAAUGUUUUUCCUUUCUCUACCGUGCCGACCCAGUCUAUAAGCCUUGGUUUUAGCACUUGGACGUCUAUUGUGUGGGCUGAAUACUAUUUACUGAGCACAGAAAGCUAAGGCCCAGUGCUGUGGGAGCAGAACCCAGAUCCUCAAAAUAGCUGAAAGUGGAAGCUUGCACAGGCAAAUGAUUCCCCCCUCCCCAUCCCGACCCCAAAAGAGCAUGAGCAUGAAUCUGCUUGAAGAUAUGACAGUGCUGCUAACUGAGAGGAUCCCGGGCCAUCCAACUCCACUUAAGGCCACAGCUUAGCGUCAAAUGGCCUCAUUCAGCCUGCAGCUGCAGGAAUCCUGAGGCCAUGCCAGGAGCCCCAGGAAUGCAAACAGGGCUCAGUCUGGGCCUCUGACACCCUGUCAGCUCUGAGAAAGAACAAGUAGGCAUUUGUUUGGGGGGAAGGCCCACAAUGAUACCACAGGAGAGGGAACUGAAUGCAAGAAGGGAGCCGGGCCAAGGUCAAAAGGCUGGUGUAGUCUCUGCCACCCCAGCCUGUGUGACCUCACUUGCUCUCUGGCUAUAGUGGCAGCCUGGCGGCAGAAGCAGAGUCCUGAGCAUGGGGUGGCAGCUCUUGAAGAACGGAGUUAGAGUUCUGUAAACCCCCAGGUGAGGACUGUUACCCAUCUCUCCAGGUAAAGGAAAAACAAGGCCUUUGCCAGGAAAGAAGAGGGUAAAACCAUUUGGGGAGGAUUUCUCCUCUUCAUCUAGACCCAAAAGGGAGGUCAUGUAAAAAGAGCCCAGGUAUUGGUGUUCCCUCGAGCAGAAAAAUAUCAAAGCCUUUAUAAGUCUUCAUUAAUCCAAUUCUCCCAUGAAUUCUGAUGGCGAUGUUUUGCUCUUGACCUUUGCAUAUGCUGCAUGCCAUUGAAGGUGACACCAUGGCUGCUUGUGAUGGUUACGGUCCCUUAUCAACCCUCCACUGCACUCCAGAUAAAAACAGAGUGAUCUAGUCUGCGCAUGUAGAGAAUUAUUCAACCUCGGCACUGUCGACAUUUGGGGCCACUCAGUUUUUGGUGGGCAGCAGUCCUCUAUAUUAUAGUAGAGGCCAUAUUUGGCCUCUGCCAAGAAAAGUCCUGUUUAGCAGUUCUCCCACACGGGGAGCUGAAGAUACCUGCAGGCGUGGCCACAUAUCCCCUACUGUUAGAAUUAUUCUCAAACCAGAACUGGCUCAGAGGAAAAACAGUUUCCAUAUAAAAUCCUUGAACAGGUUCCGUAUAAAACCUUGAAUCCAAGAUGACUGGCAGUCUGUUACUUGAAAUCGUUUCUGACAGGAAAGCAGUCCCCGAUGACCAUCAGUCAGACUUUCACCUUCAACAUGAUGUGGAAGUCCCAACAAGGCUUAACUAGAAGGUGCAUGCGCAGUGGGGCCAACUGUCAGAUCUGAGCCACUUUUCUUAAAUUGCCUUGGAUGUUUUUUCUUUUAGAUUUACUUAUUUUAUGUGUGUGUGUUGCCUGCAUGUAUGUAUGUGCUCCACAUGCACACAAUGUCUACAGAAGUCAGAGAGGGUUUCGGGUGCCCUGGGACUGGAAUUACGCUAGUUGUGACUCAUCAUAGGGCACUGGAAACUGAACCCAGAUCCUCUUACAAUGUAGCAAGCGCUCUUAGCUGCUGAGCCGUCUCUCCAGUCUCAGAAGUUAUAAUUUUGUUAAACAGGAUUUUCUCAGUUAAUAGGACCAGACAGGUAGUAAAAUGUAACAAAGGAUCCUAUAUUUAAUCUGGGAUUUUUAUUUUAUUUUGUUUUUAUUUUAGAGAAAGGUGUGAAAGAUCCUUGAGGAACAACUUGGAUGUGAACUAUAUGUCAGGCAAGAUGAUUGCCUCAAGGUAGCCAAAGAAACAUGUUCAGGGAUGCUUAGAAAAAACAGGCUCUAGACGGUGGACAGGAGGAACAGCCUGAGUAGGGUUUACCUCAUGUAGCACUGAUGGACGGGAACAAAAGGAAGUGCUGAUGUGUCUUCUAACAUGACGAACCUCAACAAUAUCAUGAAGGGAAACACAGGCGGAGAGAUCGAAAACAGUCAACAUUUAACACUGAGUCCCUCCUGGGUGUUUUUAGAAAUGCUUCUGUGGGUCUGAAAAUGUUUACCAUACAAAGUAGAGGUAAGAAAGCUAAGCUAAUAAUAAUAACAAUAGUAAAAUCUUUGCUUAUGCAUCAUGCCCUCCAUAAGAGGAGUGGGAAGCGGAAAUCAACACCUCUCUCCAUUCUCCCUUGUUUGCUGUGUAAGAAGGCCUGACUCCUCUACAGAUCUUAUUUUAAAAUGUGAUUAACUAUUCAACUCUUGCUUUUGAUAGAGGAAGCCUUUGAAUGGGUGUCCAGUGAGCCACGAGACAGCAGCUUUCUAAGCCACUAGUUGAUCUCAGCCAGCUCAUCUUACGUUAGUGGACACACACAAUACCUCCACUUACCUAAAAUGUGAUUUUUUUUUUAAUUUCCUAGAAAUACGGAACUGGCAGCUCAGAUGAUUUGCCAUGGAAUAAGCACUGGAUCCAAUUUGUUGGUAAAGACUAUCCCAUGAAAACUGGGUUUGGAAGGUGACAAACAGGAUAAGUGGAACAGGUUCUUGCUGUAAAUGUCACAGUCUGAGGACCCAUAGCACACACCAUUUCCCACCAUGACCUACUGUCAACUACUGCAGCCUGUUCAGAAGGAAAUAUGCCUGAUCUACACUUCAAAACGCAGCUCUGAGUGGCUCUUACCACAAACUGAGAAUUCAGCUCUCGGAUGAGCUGUCACCCUGGAGCCUUUCUCUGUGCCCAACUGAUCCAAGGUGACUUCCAGCAGACUCGAAGGCACUUUGAGGAAAGUCCCAGGACCCACAGCGGGUGGAGCUACUGGGUAAGGAGGGGCCUCUUCUCUUCAUAAUGGCAGCAAAUGCUGUCUCGUCAAAUGGUUACUUGUCUUUUUAAAUAAAGUGACAACCUAGGGCUCCAGUUAUGAACGCAGCUCAUUCUCUACCAUAAAUCUCUAGAAAAUAUCCAUUUCAUCACUUAUCUACUUGUAUGCUUAUAAUAUCUAAAAAUAAAAGUUUGAUAUAAAUAAAUGUCCUUUAGUGGCGGUAUACUAAAAGACCAGCCCCUUGGCCUUUAGAUAACCCUUCAGAUCAUUUUACCAAUACAGACAGCAGCUCACUAGGACAGCUGCACAGAGUUAGUAUUGCAAAGUCCAUUUGCUCUGUCUUUUGUACCUGGCCAGCGGACUGCAGUCGUGGCCAAGGGUUCCUAAGAUGCUGACGCAAAUGAACAGAAUUUGGUCCAGAGCGAGCACAGAAAAUUCUGCACAGGAACUAAUUAAUGUCCAGUACCAUUUCAAAUAAACAUUUGAUGGGGCCAGAAAAAUGUGUACCAAUACCAGAAACAUGAAGGUGGGAGACAGAUCCACAGGACGAGCAACUAGACCAUGUAAAGUGCUGGAAGACCUCAGUCAUUAUCUUAAAGCAGAAAAUUAUACUUUGAUUACUUAUUUUUUCAAAUCCCCAAACACCAAGAGAGUUCAAGCAAACAAAUAACUUCUUAGUUUUCUGGCAUCUCAGAUGUCAAAUUUUCCUUCAUUUUAGGUUUAAAAAAAAAUCAGUGCAUAUGUAAUAUAGGUAAAUAGGAAGAAACAAAGCCCUACCCUCAUUUUGCAAAUUCUGUCCAAUUGCCAGUUUAAAAAGCCUUUCCCCUUUGGUGCUUUUAUGGCAACGUGAGAACAUGAGACACAUCUCUUGUCUUUUUUUUUUGCCAUGAAGUACAGGAGCGAAUUCCAUGGUUUGGUCCCAAUACCAGAUACCCAGAGUGCCAAGGACGGACGGGUGCAGUGAAGACUGUCCACAGACUUGUGUCCAACUCUGCAGGUGGUGGUGUGUCCAGAAGGUAUAGUCUUAUAAGAAGAAUCCAAAACUAACCCUUAAAAUAACAUCCUUGGACUAUCAUUUAAAGGUAAGACAGAAGUUUCCCGAAAUCAUCAAAGCAUACUGAGUCAAAGGUGCUACAAAACCAUGGGCUGGGAGCCCCCCUCCAAGUGCCUACUGGCCUUGAGUGAGUAGAAGUCAACUACAGGCUGAUCACGUAAAUUGCUGUCCAAAUGAUAAACGUACCUUCUGGUAGAGCAAAGGGGGGCUACCAAAAUCUACACUGAGCAACUGGUAUAAACAGGGAAGCCCAGAGAAGGAGGAACUUUUGAGACUAAGACCCAGGGUAUAAAGAAAAAGUGGCUAUGCCAUGCUCUUCAAUAUGGUAGCCACUGGCCACAUGAAGCCACUGAGAACCUGAGAUGAGGUGAGUGGAAAUUGAAGUGUUGGACCAGUAUAAUAUAUAUUGUAGAUCUGCGUCAAGGAAAACAUAUUAGUGAAAAUUUAAACAGAUAUUUGAAAUUAAAACCCUCUGUGGUAAAUGUUUAUAAUGGCCCUUAACUUCGUGUUGACUAUUGAUAGGUUUGUCUUAACUGUUGAUAGUUUCUGUAUCUUCUUCUAACCCCACCCCUACCCUUCAAACUCCUGGUGAAAGCCAUAUUAUUGGGCUUCUUUAAUCAUCCCUUUUCUUUUUCACAAGCUCAUCUUACCCUAAGUUUUAAUUCAACAACUUAGUAGAGUUGGUGUAAGUUAGCUGAAGGAAAGGAGAAAUGAAAUACAAAACCAACUUGCAUAGGCCAAACCCCUAGACCCCAAGGCCUAUGUGGGACAGCAGCCCGCCUCUGGGCUGACUGCACUGUGCACAUUUAGAGAAUCAGACAGUCAUUGAUGGGAGUUUCCAGCUACAACUCACGGUUCAUAGGGAGAGGAGCUGACUUCACUUUGCAAUUUGGAUUUGGUCAAUAGUGUGACUAGUCUUCAAGUUGGAGACACCUGACCACGCUUUGCCUAACCUAACCAUAGGCUACCAUGCUUACCGCACUCACCCGCGGUGCCUUCAGACUGUCCAUGCUACCUGUUUGGAAUUCCAAAUUUGGCAAGAACUCUGAAUCAAAAGGCGUUAUUAACACACCUCAUGGUCACUGUGUGCUCUUUGGUCUGGCCAUCCAUUUUGACCACCCAGAAGAGCCAACACCCUUACAGAUAACCGCCCCCUGCUCAGCCUCAGCCGUACUUGCUCAGGCAGAAUGCCAGGGAUUUCUCUCUUUAUGCUAAUCCAUCUUGCCUAAACAAGACCUGCAGAAUGACAAUACCAGUUGGCAUGCCAAUGUGGGUGGGGGAAAUGUCCUAAAGCCCUACCCCUAGAUGAAGAGCUACAGGCAAUCAAUGGCUGCUGAUAGAGGAAAAUAGGGGGCCACGAGAGAAAUUGGGGGAGGAGAGAGAUGGGUAAAAAUGAUGUAAAUACAGUACUCGUGUAUGAAGUUCUCAAAUUAAAAAAAAGAUUAAGCUAAAAAUUCUGUUUUUUCAUCAUUAACAGCUAGUUUUUCUUCAGCUUUCCCAAUAUGCUACUUUGGUAAUAUCUUACUCAACUGCUUUCACAGGUUCCAAUCUCUUCCUUGUUAUCUGGAGGUGUGUGUGUGUGUGUGUUCACUCCACAAACAUCUACAGAACAUGUGCCUGCUAGGUGCCAGACAGAGUACUCAAUAAGCAUUCGCUAGGGAUUACUGACUGACAGAACUCAAAUUCUACAAGGUAGGUCACGAUAGGAAAUGAUGGCAUUUCGGGAGGCAAGGGCUACAGCGUACACCACGUACAAAAUGCAGUGAAAGGACAGAAAACUUCACAGGGAGGAACCAGGAGAGCUUUGGGAAGAGGCUAUGCGGGACUCCCACCAAGCACUUCACGUCUCAGGAGGGAGCUGCCUGCCCCUCAUCACCUCACUCCAAGCGAGGGUCUCUAAGCUGACACCUGAAAAGUGUGAACAGAAAU